rnacentral:rRNA from 1 species
GUCUUGACAUCCACGGAAGUUUUCAGAGAUGAGAAUGUGCCUUCGGGAACCGUGAGACAGGUGCUGCAUGGCUGUCGUCAGCUCGUGUUGUGAAAUGUUGGGUUAAGUCCCGCAACGAGCGCAACCCUUAUCCUUUGUUGCCAGCGGUCCGGCCGGGAACUCAAAGGAGACUGCCAGUGAUAAACUGGAGGAAGGUGGGGAUGACGUCAAGUCAUCAUGGCCCUUACGACCAGGGCUACACACGUGCUACAAUGGCGCAUACAAAGAGAAGCGACCUCGCGAGAGCAAGCGGACCUCAUAAAGUGCGUCGUAGUCCGGAUUGGAGUCUGCAACUCGACUCCAUGAAGUCGGAAUCGCUAGUAAUCGUGGAUCAGAAUGCCACGGUGAAUACGUUCCCGGGCCUUGUACACACCGCCCGUCACACCAUGGGAGUGGGUUGCAAAAGAAGUAGGUAGCUUAACCUUCGGGAGGGCGCUUACCACUUUGUGAUUCAUGACUGGGGUGAAGUCGUAACAAGGUAACCGUAGGGGAACCUGCGGUUGGA